rnacentral:rRNA from 1 species
ACUCCUACGGGAGGCAGCAGUGGGGAAUCUUGCGCAAUGGGCGAAAGCCUGACGCAGCAACGCCGCGUGAGGGAAGAAGGCUUUCGGGUUGUAAACCUCUUUCAGGAGGGACGAAGCUUCCGGGGUUAAUAGCCCACGGGGUGACGGUACCUCCAGAAGAAGCCCCGGCUAACUACGUGCCAGCAGCCGCGGUAAUACGUAGGGGGCAA